GAUAUUGCUAGUGUAGGAAGUAAGCGAAUGAUCAUGUUAAGAGUUUGGUUAUCCUCGUAGGCUUAAUUAGUUUGGUAUUAAAAUCUAUACGUUAUUAGACUAAAUGAAGUUAGGCAAAAAUAUAUAGAAAUAUGCUUCUGCGUUUUUUGGUUGGACCGUAGAAAAUAUAUCAUAACUGACUCAUCGCGAUAUGCGAAACGUAAUAUUACAUAUGAAAACAAACAUAAUAUUUUUUUAUUGUACUUUUUCAUCACACAUAGCGCAAUCUUCUCGUAAGUCUAAACGAAACUUUAAAAGUCACCCCUGGAAUGGUGGUCAUAUAUUUGACCUAAAAGUUGGUACACUUUGUUUUUUUGACUCAAAAGGAUAAGAUCAUUGGAGGCUAUUGGUAGGGUAGGAAUAUUCAUAAUGCACCUAUAUUGUUCUUUUAAAAGCUACAAUGGAUAGCUCGAAAUACACAAGAUUCUUAAAGAAAGCCAUGUAGUCACUCCCUUUGCUUCUUUCUACCACGACCUCUCAUUUAAAGAGAAACCCUCAAAUCCUUGUUUUUCUACAGAAGUCACGAGGCUCCCACCAUACUCUGACUCUCACAUGCACCACCAAGCGUGAAUCAUAUAUAUAUAUAUAUGCACGUACACAUGAAAGGUUGUUCUAUACUUACGUACGUACACGUGCCUUGCAAAUUUUGUGACUGGUCAAAUAUAUUACUUUUCAACAUAUUCUCUCUCUUUUUCUUUAAAAAAAAAACAUAUUCUCUCUGGCCAUGUUUGAUUGGGAAACAAGGAUUGAGAAUAAGGGAUUAUUCCCCCUUGUUCUUCAAAUACUAUUUUUAAGAAUGGUGUCAGGCAGGGGUUAUUCCCCCUGCCUGACACCUCUCCUUGUCUUGAUCCAGUUCGUCGGAUCGCACAAACAACCACAAAUUUGAUGGCACCUUUUAUUGAAAGAUUUAGUGAUUUAAAGCCUCAUUUUGUUACGCUGCAUGCACUCUUGUUCUUUUAUUGCUCAAACAAAUCUACGUGAAUGAUCAAUUAAUGUUCCGAUGAAUGUUGAAUUAAUUAUCUGUAAUCUUUACGUCUACAUAUUUGUUUUACAACAAAAAGUAAUUAUUAUAGUUUUUUUUUUAAUAGAAAUUUAUGGUUCACAAGACAACAAGAACAGAAGAAGUCUAAGCCAAUUUGCACCAGCAUGAACAGAAAACUUCUAUCCUUAUAAAUACAUAAAUAAUUAAGCAAACAAAACGGAAAGGCCGAAAAAUAGCCUUAAUACCCAACUCACAAGCGCGAUGAAUAUCAGGUACUUAAACAUAGAACUUUGAAAAUAUAUGUUACCGAAAGAUUGAUUUGAUAGUAAAUGGUCCAGAGAAUAGUAUAUGUGAACGUACAAAAAAGAAGCAAAAGAAACUUAAAUAUAUGCCUUUGUCAUGUUAAAUAUUCCUUUCGAUGAUGUUGGAUUCUUUCUUCUUUUUUUUUUUUCCUAAAAAAAGGAGACGUCGUCGUUAAGAUGCGAGAGUAUACAUUAAUUGGCUUGCUUUUUUAAACUUUGUGGGAUAGAUUCUUUAGAGACGGGGUUUUUACAAGACACCACGUUGCAUGCUUCUACCUGUGCAUGGGGAAUUUUUUGAACGUUCCAUUAAUAAUUAACGCUGCGUUGAUCACAUGCUUCUUAAUUUUUAAAAUUAACCCUGUUUCUUCCUCAAUUAUAGGUCAAAAGGCGUGCUUUUUUGGUGAUUCAUCUGGUGGAUACUAUAUGUUUUUAAAAAGAUAAUUCUUACUUUUUUUUUUUGGAUAAAUUACACUUUCGGUCUUCAAACUAUGAUGUGUGUGACACGUUGGUCCUCAAACUGACUCCAAUUUUUUGAAUUGUUGCAAUCAAAUUUCACAAACUAAUUUAGUUGGUUAAAUAUUGACAAAUUAUUAAUGUAAAAGUAAUAUAGAAAUGUUAUAAUUGAUGAUGCCAUAUCAAUUUUACGUACAUCAACAACUUGUCAAUAUUUACCCAACUAAAUUAGAUAUUAUGGGACUUGAUUACAGCAGUUCAAAAAGUUUGAGUCAGAAAUUAUACCUUAUUAAAAUUUAAGAAUCAAAAUGUCACACGCCUCAUAAUUUGAGGACCAAAUUAAAGUGUAAUUCACCCCUUUUUCUUUUAUGUUCCUCAUUCAGAGAGACUCUCUCUCUCUCUCUCUCUCUCUCUCUCUCUCUCUCUCUCUCUCUCUCUAUAUAUAUAUAUAUAUAUAUAUAAUGCGACAUGAAUCUUUUGUUAUAAAAAUAAGGUCCUUUCCAUUAGUGUGCAACUAUCCCGUUACUAACUAAUAAAUAUUCGUGUUUAUCUACUCACUACUCAUUUGGGUUGUUGAGCUAGCAUAAGAAGGUCAAGCCCUAGAAAUUUGGAACCAAUUAAAAACUUUAUACUAUAGUAGCCAAUGAACAAUAGACAACAAAAACAUCAUUCAUGUGGACUAGAAUUAUAUAUAUAUUUGUUCUUUAAUGACCUUGAUUUUGGAUUUCUCAUAUAUAAAAAUUUUUGGUUACUUCAACACUAAUCACUUGAUUGGUGGUCAAAGUGUUAUUUAAUUAGUUACGGUCGUGUUUGGGCAUUUUAUAUGAUAAUAUGAUAUUGAUCACGAGAGCCUAAGACGAUAUUUUGGUUGGAAAUUAAGCUGUGUGACAACGUACGCAAUCAACAUUUGACUAGAAAAAUGAAACUAAUAGCACCCAUCAUUUUGUUUAAUUAAUCAAAGCUAAAUAUAUAUUUUGUUACCUAAGUAACUAGCUUUUAUGUAAAUUAAUAAUAGCUUUAGACCUACUUAAGCGAACUCUACUACUUUAAUUGCUAUGUAGGUGGGACUAAAUUGGAUGUUUAUACGUUGGGAAACCAAUCAAGAGUGAUUAGUAUGGUCUAUUUAAAAAAAGUCCUUCAAAUAUAUAUAUGUAUAUAAAAGAAAAUUCAUCGGUACUGUUGUAACACGUGGUCAAAUUAACCCGAUUUACUUUUAGACCGCAAUUAAUUUGGUCACAAUAAUCAAGUUUAAUUGGACCUUGUUACAAAACUUCUUUGCAACGCACCUACAAUAACACUUCUGCAUAAGCUUACUUUUGGAGAUUGACCUCCUUGAGCCCAAUAAAGCUUUUACGAAAGUAUUGUUUGAGCAAAAUUAAUUGUUCGAACCUCCAAACAUGUUUUCGUUCAAGGAUUUUCGUAGCUUCUCAACAACAUGUGAUUCAAACUAAGACUUCGUUUGAAAUUGCAGAGAGAUUGCAUUACGUACGGUGAGAAAAUACGAUAGGAAAAUAUCCUGUUUGUUUCCGUACGUAAUAUUGCGUUUCGCAUAUCACGAUGAGUGGGUUACGAUAAUUUUUCUGUGGCCCCACCGGAGAUUACAGAAGUAUAUCUCUAUAUACUUUUACAUCAACUCCAUUUUAUCUAAUAGCGUCAGAUAGACCACAAUACCAAACCAAGACUAAGGCUAGCUCGGAUUUUGAUAACUAAAAUCUUAUUUUAAUUUUCAACCAUGCACAGUUAGAAGCUCAAAUUAUUAUUAUUUUUAAUUAAAAGCUUGUUUUGUAUCUCCAUUUCACAUCGAGAAUCAUGACAAAAACUCGGAGUGUAGUACCAUAAAGAUAUAUAUGCGGACUAAGGGCCAUUUUAUUAAUGAUCAAGCUUAAGCUUUUGGGGCUAUCGUUUGGACCUAACAAGUUAUUAAUUUUGCUGCACCAAUAGAAUUAGGAUUUUAGUUGCCCAGCCCACGUAGUACAUGCAUUCGACCACACAAGACCAAGCCGGGUCGAAUCUUGGUCCGGCCCUCCAAAGAAGGCCCAAUUUGCGAAAAAAAGUCCAAGUUGAAAAUAAGAAUUCUAAAAAACUUAUUUAUUUUGUAACUAUAAGUAACUAUUUAGUAGUACUGAUCUCUGUGGCUACAUGAUGAUCAAGUAUCGAGGACCAUUUAACACUAUUAAACAACACGGAAUUAGAAAAAGGUAUGCAAACAUAUGCUUUUUCAUUUUUCAAUAAAACUAUAAAAAAUAUAUUGUAAUCGGCUCAUUACGAUAUAGAUCACAUAAUAUUACAUACCGAGUUCAUUUUACUUUGUUUUUUUUUUUUUCUGGAUUCCUCAGUUAGUUGGAGUCGGAGCUUUUAAUUUCUUUUUUUUUUUGAGAAAAUGGAGCUUUUAAUUUCUAACCGGAGCCCAAAGUGUGAAAAGAGAGAAACUCGAGUGUACGAAGAAGCAAUAAUAAUUUGGGCCUUUAUUGGGUCGGUUCGGCCCUGAGAUUUAAUUGGGCUCAUUAAUUUCAGCCUAUUUAAUUAUAGGGCCGUGGUUUGUAUCCAAGCCCAAUUUCACGGCUCGACCCGACCCACUCCGGUCCAAAGUCCCGGUUCAAGAAAACCGAAAAUAAUACCGGUUCAAGGUACAAAAGUUAGUACAUCGCUGAAGCUUGCGAGAUCGAGAAACUCUGAAUAAAGAAGGCGAGGCGAGGAAGAAGACGAAGAGGGAGAGAUCGAUCGAAAAAAAAAAAAAAAAUCCGGAAUAAAUCCCUCGCAUUUUUUUUGCUCUCCUAUUUUUUUCCAAAAAUAAGUCGAAGGAUCGGAUCCUCUCCUCUUCAAUUCUUCGCCUUCCUCACUCGUCCUCGAUCGAUCGAUCUCUUGUUCAGAAACCCUAGAGAAUGGAUAAAAUCUUCGCCAAGCUCCGGAACCUGGACGCGUACCCUAAGAUCAACGAGGAUUUCUAUAGCAGGACCCUUUCCGGGGGCAUCAUCACCAUCGUCUCGUCCGUGAUCAUGUUCAUCCUCUUCGUCUCCGAACUUAGUGAGUGAUUAAUCGCGCCGUUCUUUUGUUUCUGACUUUUUUAUGUUUCGUGUGCGUGGAUGGGUAGCUGUAGGUUGGUUCUUGGGUAUAUCUCUGUUAUUUGGUGAUUCUCUGCUUGUAUUUAUUGUAAUCGUGCAAUGUUGAUUGGUUGAAUAGGCUAAUCACUCGAGUUCUUGAUAGUGGGAACGGAAUGUUGUUUGAAUUUGUUAUGGUUAUUUAAACCUGCUCUUUAUUUGCUAUUCAAAUAUCUCUUUAGCAUGUAAGGGGGCAUAAGGUUUCAUGAUAUCUGUGGGGCACGUGCAAAUCUUUAUCGUUUUAUGCUUGAUAGUUAAUAAUGGGGUUCACAGAGUCCUCGAUCCCACGAACCUGAGCAAGAAUUAGAGAGGAGCAAAGUUAGAAGCUGUAUAAGGGCCGUACGCUUAGGCACGGGAGGUGGAGAUGUUAAUUAUGGCGGUAAAGUAUUUCCCGGCAGAGGAUGGAAAGUGACUAGAGAUAAGAGAGAUAAAACAGGAAAUAAAGUAGGUCAAAGCGUCGGAGAAGAAAUAACUAAUUUAUACUCAUAAUGGACUACUGUACAUCAUCAGUUUCAUCUCAUGAGUCCCUUUUUUUGGCAAUUUGGCACCUAACAGUUCUAAAAUAGUCUUAUAAUCUGAAUAAAUAUGUCUAUUAUCACUAGCGUUGUUAAUGUGAAUUUCUUUCUUUGUUUCUGCAGUAUUUACAUUUGAAAUUUAGAAAAAUUAUUAGUGAUUGAAGAUGAUGUUUAAUUUGAUCGAGUGGCUAAAAAUGCCGGGGACCGAGAGGUUAUUGGCUGGGUGUAAGGCAUAAGGACUAACUGUACCUUUUGAUUGAAAUGACAGAAACAUUUAUUCAUGUAUUAUAGCUUUUUUGACACUUAAAGAGUUAGGGAUUGGUGUUCAAAUAAAGGCUACGAUUUGCAACUGUUCGCUUGAAAACCAAUUGUGAUUGAUGGUUUUACUUUUGAGACUCUUUAUAUUUGAAGACAUAAGUUGAAAAAUUUUGAGAGAAGUCAAGAUGAACACAAAUAUUUUUGGCUUGAGAAUGUUAAUAUAGAAGAUAAUUUAUGUGAUUGACCUUAGGAAAGAGAUAAUUCAUUGGUGUUUAGUGUUUACGCAUGGAACCAAAGAAAUGUACCAGAGAACAAUGACCUCUUUCAGGCCUUCAAAAGCUUUUGUCCUUUCUAAGUGCUUAACCCUCAACGUCUAACUACAGCCUAUGCCCUUGUUUGGAUCAUUUAUGAGAACUCCGCAUUAAUGUUUGUUAUUUAUUUCUCUGUGGAUCUAUGCUCAUAUUUCUACAGAUGUCACAGCAUAUUUUGCUUCAUACUUCAAGCUGUCAUAUAUAUAUAUCACAUUUCAUCAUUUUUUUUGUUGCAGGAUUGUAUCUUCAUGCAGUAACAGAAACAAAGCUCGUUGUAGAUACUUCAAGAGGAGAAACACUUCGCAUUAAUGUAAGAAUGCAUCUUACCAAGGAAUUUUAUUUUAUUUUUUCUGAUGGAGACUUUUUGGUCCAAUUUUAGUUUUUCAGCUUGAUUGAAGAUCAACUUAUCUUUCAAAGCAGACAACUUCAAAGAUGUUUGAUAACUUUACAGCGAAACUUUCUUUUUAAUGUGUCAUGCAUGUUUAUUGGAUUUUUCCCCCUUGUUUUAUUACUUGACAAAUUACUUAAGUAGACUGCUCGAUUUUUAUUUUUUGUUGUCUCUUACUUAGGAACCUAUUUUGUUUCCUUUCUCUGUUUCUCUAUUACAUAUUUUCAUUCUGUUACUCGUCACUGCUCCUCGUACUUGUGUACAGAUCAUUAAUUUUCCAAUAUUGCUACAAUUGAAGCUCUUGUUUAUUAUUUACUCAUUUUGUUUCUUUCUAAAUAGUUAGUAGUAGUUUGCUUGGAAUCAUCAAGCUAUUUUUGAAUUUCUCAUUGUUAUAACUGAACUUCAUUUUGUUGCUGGUAAAGGAAAACUUUGCCAUAUGUUGCAAUCAAGCCCUAAAGUGAACAUCUGUUGGAUUCAGUGAUGGGAACUGAUGUGACAUCUCUAGAGCAAAUUGAUGUUACAUUCAAUCAGCUAUUUUUGGGAUGUUGUUGAAUUUUUUUUUUUUUCAAUCAUUUAGUAAGGACAUUCCAACCAACAUUGCAUAAUAGCCUCGUAAGAUCCUUAUCAGCUAGUGUGAGAAGAUGUCACACAUAAUUGGGAUGUAAUAUGAGCUUUCUUUUUGUUACAUAUUAGAGAAGUUCAUGAUUCGAUGAACCUUGUUACGACAAAUAAGGAAGUUUGAGCUAUUAGUUGCUGAUCAAAGAAUUAGUAGAAUUGGAAAUCCAAUUUCUUGUGCAGUUUCGAGACUUCUUUAAAAAAUUGACCAAACAUUCAUUGAUAUUUAUUGAUAUGUAUCCAUGUUGAUAUUGAAAGUCUUGUUUGAUUUAAUCUUGUCCAUGUUUCAAUAUUGGGAUUGCUGCUUGCUAAUCCCCUGCCCAUAUUUUCCAUGGAAACUGCAGUUUGAUAUAACCUUCCCAGCCCUAUCAUGUUCAAUACUCAGUCUGGAUGCAAUGGAUAUUAGCGGUGAAGAGCACCUUGAUAUAGUAUGUCUUUCAGCUAGAUCUGUUCUCUCUUCAUAAUUACAUAUCUAACCAACCAAUUUAUAUGCCAUCGAAGUGACUUUAUAUCUCACUGCAUUUUUUUUUUGUUUUUCUGUAGAAGCAUGAUAUAGUCAAGAAGCGGAUUGAUGCCCAUGGCAAUGUCAUAGAAGCUAGACAAGAUGGAAUUGGUGCACCUAAGGUAUUACAAAGCUGCCUAAAAAUGUGUUUUCCCUUAAUUUCAACUAUUUAAUUUCUUGUUAGCACCAUAUUAUUUUGCAUUGAUGCUUUGAGUGCGGAAAUUGGACACAGACAAUUUACCAAAAAAAGGACACAAUAAAAGAAGUUUCUCAAUAGAUUGAUGUUUUUAUCCUUGGAGAACUGAGAAAGCAUAUGGCCUACUUUUAUUCUUUUAUUCAUCUGUUUCUUUUACAUUCUUCAGAUAUGUCCAUAUCUUACUUACAACUUCUGACAGUACUUGUACCAACCUUCACAUUCAUCAUGCACCACACUAUUCUAAAGUCAGCUUCUUUGCAAAAGUGUGUUUUUGAGGCAAGCUUAACUUUUCAUGGUUGAAAAAAUGUAGAAAAUCUUUUCUUGCAUUAUCUAUACCUCAAACAGUUGGAGAUGGACGAAUUAGUUUCUUAGCAUUUUAGUCAAGUGGAUAGGUUCAGCAAGUAUACCAUUAAAUAUUAUUGUAUUUGGAUCACAAUCUUAGAUUGUACACCUUGCCAACAAAGCUCAAUUGGCUGUAUGGACUAUGGACAGUUUUAAAAAAAACCAUGAACUACUAAAUUGGUGGACUGAAAUUGCUACAAUAAAGAUUUACACCUGAAAUUGGAUGAGCCUAAUCGAAGGAAUGAAUCUCACUAUCUUAUGUAGGUGGAUCCUCAAGAAAUUCUUUGGCACUCUUAUAGUGUAGAGACAUAGAAGCAAAACGUUGACCCUGUUGAAUGAGCUAAGUGAAGUUUUCUACUUCAUAGAUUUACUCCCUUGUAGUUAAAUAACCUACUAUAAACUUUGAAGUUGGAUUAUCCGAUUAUAUUACCUCUUACUUGAUGUUUUAAUAUCAACAACCACAAGCAAGUUAAAUUUUGCAUGCCCUGUACUUUAGUAGCUUGUUUGAGUAGUGAAAAUUUUCUGUUGUGAAGUUUUGAAGUUUAUAUGUUAAUAUUUGCUGGAAGUUUACUUUAUACAAUGCAUGUUUUAUUAUUUUAACUCUCUGGCAGAUGGAAAAGCCUUUGCAAAAACAUGGUGGGAGGCUUGAACACAAUGAAACGUAUUGUGGUUCUUGCUAUGGUGCAGAAGUGGUAUGUAAUCCUGGUUCUAUUUUAAUAUUCAUUGUUUUAACAUCUGUUAUGCCUUUUUCAGUAGUACAAGUGGUAUCAUAUCUUGGGAUUGCUUUCUAUAUCAUCAUCUUAGGCAUUGCUUGGUAUUGAUGCUAUUCUUUUUUCACACAAAUUCUAUGCAAUGGAGUGUGGGCGGAUGGCAGAGUGCUUCCAAUAUAUACAUCUACUGGGCCUGCUGGCAAGAGAAAAAAAAUGAAAACACAAAAGUACCAUUUAUUCUCUUCCUUUGUUUAUUGAAUAUGCCUUUUGGUACCCAGCUGGGUUGCAUUGCAAGCUAACCAGUAAUGGCAAGAAUAGGGAAGUCCUCCUGUUGGCACAGCAAUCAUAUUGAACUUUUUGUUCAUAACAACAAAAAAAAAGGCAACAAUACAAAACAACGCAUGGCUCUAUGACUGUGCAACUUGGAAACAACACUUAGCUAUUCUUGACAAUAAAUUUCAGUACAGGGAGUAUUGGUGUGAUUCUUGUGGAAGUUGCUUGAGACGUAGUUGGCUAAAAAGCUGAUUGGAAAGUUAAGUACAAUAAUGGACAACGGGUAAUGAAUGCCUUUAUGUAUGCAACCCAAAUGAGCAAUGGAUGUCUUUUAGUAUGCACCCAAAACUUGUAACUAUGUGCAUAUCUCAUAAUAUUUGAUAAUUUUGAAAUCUUUAGUAGUUCAAUCCUAUUUUUGGUUUCUUUUGUGAGGGAAUAGUGAAAACAUUCAUCGCUAACCUCCCAUCCUCGUGCUUAUCUUCUCACUGUUCUAAAAUGCUGUCACCCGCAUAGGUGAAUGUCAUUGCUUGAUCGCUUCAAUAGUCCGCUUGUAUUUGUGGUGUACACACCUCAUAAUGGGUGCAUGAGCACCUUACCUCCUACCUCGCAUUAGAAGAAAUAUAAGGUUUAGCAUGGCAUGAUAUAUAGAAUGUUUAAUAAGUCAUCCAAAGUUCUAUAUUUUUCUUAUUCAUUUGAUUCAUCUGUGCCUUUCUUUUAUGUAUAAUAUUUUGUUACUGUAAUAUAUUAUUGUAUGUAAUUAUAUUUUGCAAAAUUCUUAUCUCAGUUAAUAUUAUUUGCUAUGACAGACUCUGAUCAGAUUUUCUUUAUAUAUAUAUAUAUAUAUAUAUAUAUAUAUAUAUAUAUAUAUAUAUAUAUAUUUUAGCUCCUUCAUUACUUUCACAAAAUGUUUCCUGGUUUAUUAUUGCUACUGUUGAAUCUAUAUAUCUUCUUAAUUUUGUUCCUCAUAUGCCAUGAACAUGCAAAUUGAUUUGCUUGUAGUCCGACGACGAUUGUUGCAACUCUUGUGAAGAAGUUCGUGAAGCAUAUAGAAAGAAAGGAUGGGGCCUCUCAAACCCGGAUCUGAUUGACCAGGUGUGACCAUAUAGAUGACAUGAUUUAUUUUUGCUUUUUAAGUGCCUUGCUUUAUAACUCUAUGAGUUUAUCCUCUCUGUAAUUAAAUGUUUUAUGAAAAUAUUCAAUUUUUCACGGGAAAGUUUAUGUUUAAUAAGUUUGCCUAGGUUUCUGAUAGUUACAAUGGCUUGAAAGUCACUGGAGUUCUUGUUGUAAUGUAUGAAUGUUCUGUCACUCAAACUGGUUCUUUCAGUUUGCACAAAGAUGUCAGUGUUGGCUAAAGUUGGGCCCACAUUAUGCCAUUAUCUUAAAGGCUUACUACCUUGUCUUGUAUUACAAUUUUCUCUAUGCAACUGCCUACGCCUGAGUUUCAUAUCCUAUUGGUUACUACUACAAACUGUAAUUACAUGACCAUCUAAUUGCAAGGUUUUUGUCUAUCAAAUCUUGAGCUAGUAUAUUUAAGAAAUUUAAUAAUUUUUACUCUCGACUCUGGUGUUGUAUAAUAGUGCAAAAGGGAGGGUUUCCUACAAAGAAUAAAGGAUGAGGAAGGCGAAGGAUGCAACAUCUACGGCUUUCUAGAAGUUAAUAAGGUUGCUGGGAAUUUUCAUUUUGCCCCAGGCAAAAGCUUUCAUCAGUCAAAUAUGCAUGUUCAUGACUUGCUUCCGUUCCAGAAGGAUAGCUUUAAUGUAAGCAAGUUUGGACGGAGUUGUGGCAGUGUACAUAAUUUCAUCGUUCACAGAUCAUUCUUAGCAUGCUUUGACAUAUUCAAUUUUCAUUUAUGAUGUUGCCAGAUUAGCCACCGAAUAAAUAGAUUAGCUUUUGGAGAAUAUUUUCCUGGUGCUAUCAAUCCUCUUGAUGGGUAACUUUGUAUUCCUUCUAUCUUCCUAUUUAUUUGCUAGUUACCUGUAUGCUCUUAAAUAGCUUUUAAUAUCAUAAAGAUAUUAGUGACUAUACACCUGAUUAUUGAAAUAUUUAGAGUGCAAUGGGUGCAACAAACACCAUAUGGGAUGUACCAAUAUUUCAUCAAGGUUAGCCGCCUCAUUUUCCUUCUUUUACUUAGUAGAAGUUAAAGUUAAGAUAUACAUGUGCUUGCUAAGCAGUCUCUUCCUGCAUAUGCCACUUCUUUCUUCUGCUGUCCUUGCAGAAUUAUGUAGUUGCCGAUGACUCUUGGAAGUUUUCAAAUCUUUCUCCUUGUCUUUUCCAGGUUGUUCCCACUGUCUACACUGACAUUAGUGGGCGUACUAUCCAGUCCAAUCAGGUAUAAAUAAGUAUUCCAUGGUAACUUCUGAUUCUGCAUUUACUUGAUUUCAUCAUCUUGUUAGAACUUUUUCAUUCAAACAUGCAGUUUUCUGUAACCGAGCAUUACAGGGGUGAUGACAACGGUCGCAUCCAAGCCCUUCCUGGUGUUUUCUUCUUCUAUGACCUUUCGCCGAUAAAGGUAAUGUUUUCAUAAGUAAAGCACCGUUACUGUUAGCAGAUUUUUGCCUGGAAAAUGAAAAUAUUUUCAUUACUUUUGUUUUUAUUCGGAUCUUUUCUUCCUCCAUUCACAAUAUAACAAGUCGCAACCAUCCUUUAGUGUGCAAUGUAAAUGCAGCCUGAUCGAUUCUUAUACUGUUUUUUGAUAUUGAUGUGAUAAGCGUAGAAAAGUUUGGGGAUACCUUUAUUGUUUCUUAGUCAUUGUAAUUUAUAUCUUAUUGCAAUACAUGGGUUUUGCAUCUAUUACAUGUUUUUUUUGUCUUACAAGUUACUAAAAAGACAGUUUAGUUCAAGCAGACCCAUCUAAUUCCUACACUAUUAUUACCCUGAUGCAUUUUUGCAGGUUACCUUCAUGGAGCAACAUGUCUCUUUCUUGCACUUCUUGACUAAUGUUUGUGCUAUUGUUGGAGGUACACUUUAUUUCACUUAUAUGACUAUUAUAAUCAUUUUACUUCUGGUGUGCUGCGUAAACUUUACGGUUAACAUAAUUUUUACAAAAUCAGCUUUGUCCUUCCAUAUUAGUUCAUUCGUAACAUCUGUUUCUGAUUAAUUGAGAUUUGAGAAUAUUGAUGAGUGUCUCCAGAACAUGAAAUUGAUUACACCUGUUAUCAAUUUAGUAUACAAAUAAUCUUUUUGAAGGAACAUCGGACUUUAUUCUAUUAAUCGUGUCCCAAUUAUAAUGCUUAAUAAGUUAUUUUGAAAGGAAAUACUAGAGUUGUCUGACAAGCAAUAUUGUUACUUAUCCUCUUUAAGAAAUGAAAAUGAAUAAUGUAUUGUUUUCAUCCCAUACUUUGUUUGACUUCACAACCAGCAAAUGACCUUCAAAUGGAUUCUUAUAUUCAGAAUAUUCUCCAAUUUGGAAAGUCGUUGCACUUUACUAUUUUUACUCAAGUUGUCCUCUUUACUUUAACCUACCUAAAUAUUCCACAACUGGCAUGUCCUCUAGAACAGAUAACUUGUGAAAGCAUUGAAAGGGGCUCUAAGAUCUAAUACUUGAAUCACUUUUAAGGGCCUAAUAUUCCAUACUAUCUGUUUUACGGGUCAUACUAUUCUUGCUCAUUGACAUUGCAAAAGGUAUAUUUUGACUAAUGCCAGUUAUAGAGCAAUGAAAUAGCAUUUCAAGCAUAUGUGGCAUACCUGCACUAAAUAGAGUCGUUGGUUGGUAUCAGGGUAUGUGAGUGUGUCCUAUUGGCAUCCUCCAAAAACAACAAUAACAGCAAGCACAAAAAAAAAAGAGGGUUCCUUAACUUUCAGAUGUCCAUCCUUCUGUAAAGUCAAGUUGUCGGAAUUUCCAGUUCUUGGGCUAUACAAACUUAUCAGGAUUGGUUUGAUGACCGACUCUAAUGUUGAUUUCUUUACCUCACCAGGUAUAUUUACUGUUUCUGGGAUAUUUGAUUCAUUUGUAUAUCAUAGCCAGAGAGCAAUCAAGAAGAAGAUGGAGAUCGGUAAAUUCAGCUGAUUGUCAAACUUGGUAACUUUUUUGUUCUUGAAAGUUAAACCACCUUUCUCGUGGGUGCUCGACCUAUCUGGUGCGACUUGAAUAUCCAAAAGUGACGUCGAGUCAGUUGGUGGGAUCGGGUUGGGUUUUGCUCUUUGUUAUAUUAUUUCGCGGCCCUGCAUCCUACAUGGAUGAAUGUCAUGUGGAUCACAAAUUCAAUCAUUUUAUAGCUGUUGUCUGUGUAAUUUAAAUUCAACAGGGGGAUAUUUGCUGUUGGAAGAGCAUUUGUGGGUGAUUAUACAUAUAGUAACAUUGAUGCAAGAUCACAGAGAACAAUGUGGAUGUUGGUAUUCGACAAGUCGGAACUUGAGUUGGUUGAAAGAUCUGUAUUGUUUUGUUAUCUUAAUUCCAGUUCCUAGAUGCAGAAGGUUAUCGAGUCUUGUACUAUUAUGUGAAUCACACAUAAGUGUUUAAAGUUUUAUUUGAGUGUUAAAUCUCUGAAAUUUCAAGAAAUGUUUUUGUUGUCUUUAAAUAUCAUGCAGUGAUUAGAUUCCAAUGAGGGCUACUCUGUUUUUCUUUUAUUUACUGUUUGCUUAUAUAACUGUUGGGAUAGAGAUUCAUGCUUCAACACAGGUGAUUAAUUAGAAUCUAACCAACUUCUAUGCAGAUAUAUGCAUGUCACAACAAUUUGCUAGAGCAAUGUACUAGCUCAAGCAGUAAAUGUGUUGGGGAUAUUUGUAUAUUUGACUUUAUUAUUCAACAGGUCUUGUGUACUAAGCCAAAAGUCUGUACCAUUCCAAAAGCAAUUCAUGCACUCAAAAACUUGCUUGUUAUCUGGGCUAAACUUCUGUUUAAUUAAAUUUCCGAUAUCUGAACUAAUGCAGUUUCUUUGAUGAAGUGGCUUUCCUCGUGUGUUUCUCCAUGCCUGUGAUAUUCUUUUUUGGUACCAAUUAGAUGAAAUUUGCUGUAUCAAUGCUUUAGCUCAUUCAAUUAUAUGCUUAGGAUUUGUUUCAGAGGAUCGUGUAAUCACAUAAUAUAGCACGCCUGAUCGGUUUCUAAUGAUGGUUAGUAUUAGCUUCUUAUGUAGAUGAGACUCGCUUUGUCAUUCUAUUUUUUUAAUCACGUAUACAUAUAUACUACCCUACUUUAAAUGCUUCUACUGUUUUGAUCUCUUACGCAGCCCAAGGAGAUAUUUCCAACUGGUAGGUAUUGCAUCUCGUCAGAUAAGAAUUCUCAAACACGUCAAUUUUAUUGAGAAAUUACUGUUUUUAACAGUGAACUCUACUGUUCUGGUUUCUUCUCUUACAGUUAAAUUUAUCUAUUUGGAUUUCAUUUUUUGGUCGGAUGUGCUUUAUAUUCUUAGGCUUUAACCUUUUACAAAGUAGCUACCAUCAUGCCCAUAACAGCAUAUAUAGAACAUUUUGGCUUUUAUGUCAUUCGAAAUUCUCCUGCGAUGUUCCUUGGCGUUCGUUAUCAUAAAAUUCCAACUAUGAAAUGGCGAAUCCUAUCACGCAAUUGUUCAGAAUCUGUCAGCGUUCUCAAAUUUCCACAUCAGCGGAGGACAGAGCCAAAAGGACAAUAGCGAAGUGCCUCAGGUAAUUUUUUAUAUUCAUGUUUCGUAACCUCGAUUUAUUUGUGGGAAUUAGAAAAUAUGGCAAAGUUCUUAGUACACAUUUUUCAGUUUAUUUCUUGUACAAAGCCUCAAUUUGGGCAGCUUUUUCUACGUUAUCGAGCCGCUUGCAUCUCGCCGCUUUCACAUGCUUGGUGGGUUACUUGUUAGUUAAAAGAAUUAUGGUGAGAAGGGAAAGAAAACAAGAGAAUGUGCAGUAUGUUUUAGUUAAUAAUGCUGAAACAAAAGACAAAGCAAAGAUCACUGGAACAAAAUAUCAUAGAGCCAUAGAGGUGGGGUUAACCAUUCCCUGUGCUCCUUGCUAUGCUUGUUCUAAAGGUAGAUCGUGUUCUGUUGUCUUCACGCUGUACAGUUUUUAUUUUGCUCGACUUCUAACCUAUCUCAAUAACCUUACAUGCUGUUCUGUCGUGUUUGGCUUUUAUAACCUUGUUUCUCAUCUGAAAUUGUCAUGUCAUAUGACUAUUGAGGAGCGUUUAGAUGCAAAUUUUCCAACUAAUACUUGUAAUUUUAGUUUUAAAUGAGAAUCCGUGCAAUUUCUACACAAUUAUUGUUCUACGAGAAGAAUAUAUGCAAUUAUUGAAUAUUGGUCCUCCUCGGAGAAAAGGAGAGGAGGAAAUUUGCGAAAGGGACGAGCGCAGAGGCAACAAAAUGGAAAGGAAGAAAAACGAAGUGUGUACGCAUUAAGUGAUACAACAAUUUCCUUUUGCCAUGUUUGUGUAGAGAUAGAUAUUUUGAUGCGCGUGGCCAUCGGAGAUUGAUUAUUACGUUGAUGAAUACUACUAUUCUACAGGUAUAUUUUGUCAAUGUGAAAAGCAUCCGAUGCGGGUUAACUUUUCCCCCCACUUUCGUUCUCAAUUGGAAUGAUUCAAAUCUCGCUGAGAUAUCUUUCAGAUUCACCACCAAUUGAAGGUAAUCUCAUCGCAGGUAGAAUUUUUCUUUUUUUUUGCCGAGCCACUGUGGGUUCGCAUCUUUUAUCUUUGUAUAACAUAUCACAAGUUGCCCAAGGGCUUUUUCUGUGAAAUAGAAAGGAAAAAAAAAAAAAUUAUUCAUCUCAGGUUAGUGGAAUAUGUAUUUAUUGUUGUGCUAAAAAAUUGAAUGAUAUAUAGAAAGAAAAGGAGUUUAAAAUAUCGUAUUUUGGUUGCUUACGGUUUUAGAGAAAAUUGGUUGUUUUACAUUUAAUGAGAAUAGGAAGUUUUGAGUUCAAAUUUUAAUUGGGGCCUCUAGUCUCAUUCAGACUCUGUCCAACUUAUUUUGAAAAUCCAGGUGUUGCAGACAAAAUCGCCCUCAUGCAUGGGGCAAUGUUGACUAAUGUAGAUAGCUACUUCCAAAUCGUGUUUUAGUAGUGUUUUAAGUCGUUAAAGAAAAAAGAAAAAAAAAAAAAAGGAAAGAAAAAAAAAAAGGGUUAGGUCCAUGAAGGAUAAAUUGCAUUGCCACUAACUUGGUAGGUGUAGUCAAGUUUCGUUUUGGUCAUUGGAAUUCAAAGUUUGUCCCUUUGAUGCGUCUCGUAGUGUUAAGAAAAAAAAAGGGAAAAGAAAAAAAGAAAAAUUGCAACAGACACACAGUGGUUUCAACUUGAUUCCUGCUGGACCAAGCAAUCCUUUUGAAAAGGAUAAAAAGUGAUAUUUUAUAGUGGGUGGAGAGAGAGAGAGAGAGAGAGAUAAGCAGAGGAAGAAUAAGAACAAAGAGAUGAGCCCUAGGGGGAGUAGGUUUGGGAACUUGUGGUGGAGGGUGUUGGCUUAAAUGCGCCAGCAUCCUGUCCUGUGCCGGAAGGUCAUGUGGGCCGAGUCAUGUUCGAAAUGGCGUGAGGCUGGGUUGGGCCGAGUCAUGUUCGAAAUGGCGUAAGGCCAGGUGGGCCGAGUCACAAUCGAGACCCAUGGGCGCUGUUUCUGUACGCUUUAAGUGAAUUGGUUGCGUAUUUCUAACAGCUCGAGCUUUUGGGAUUAAUGGUUAGCGCUAACAAUCCGACAAGUGGUAUCAGAGCCAGAGAUCACGGAUUCGAUUCCUGCAUGCUGCAAAUGUGUUCAGGUGCUGGAGGAGGAUUGUUGGCUUAAAUGGGCCAGCAUCCUGCCCUGUGGCGGGAGGCCAUGUGGGCCGAGUCAUGUUCGGAAUGACAUGAGGCUGGGUUGAGCCGAGUCAUGUUCGAAGUGGCGUGAGGUUAGGUGGGCCGAAUCACAAUCAAGAUUCAUGGGCGCUGUUUUUGUACGCUUUAAAUAACUUAAUUACGUAUUUUUAAUAGCUCGAAUUUUUGGGUUUAAUGAUUAGCGCCAGCGAUCCGACGGAGGGCAUAUCUCCAUGCCUCUCCCCUUUGCCCCUUAUCUCUGGCAAAAGGGUAUGGGGCAAUAAUAAAGAAAUGCAUAUAUGAUGAUGAAGAGGGGAUGUGUUAUGACUGAUUCCACAUGACAAUGGAAGUCCUUUUCAACAGCAUAAAAGCAAAAGGUCUUCCAGAGGCUUCUUCCCCAUCUCCCAUCCCUCCCAUCCCUCCCUCAUCUUUUUUGGUCAAGUUUAGCCCCUAUUUUAUGCUAUUAUUAUGUGAAGGGAAGGAAACAACUAGCUGUUGCUGAAACAGUCCCUUUUUGAGUAAAUCUUAAGCUUUGCUUGCCGCUCAAAACUUUUCCUUUUGUUACAUGUGUUGCUCAGCAUCAUUCAAGCAAUGGCUAGGAUUUUUGGUAUACUAAAAUGGGCAUAACUAUCUCAUUUAUAUGUGGUUAGAGAAGGUGGAUGAGGAAAUUCACGAUUCUUGUUCUUAUUGGCUGAACACCAAAAAAAAUAUCUCCUUCGAAAAAUAAUAAUAAUAAUAAUAAUAAUAAUAAUAAUGAAGAAAAGAAUUGUUAAGAUUUUAUUUCUUAUUGCCAAACAAAACAAAACAAAUCAAGGGCAUAAAAAGCUUAUUUCUCGAAGGAGAUAUUUUGCUUGAGAAAAUAAAAAGACAACACUAGUACUAAAUGAGACUCAAAAUCUUAUUAAAUUUGAGCAAACCUUUGUUUGGACAAAUGUUAACGAAUCUUAAACCCUACGCCCUGAACUGUUUGAAUAAAGAUUAAUGAUCCAUUUAGUGAAAUAUCUGUAACAUAGUGACAAUAUUUCUUUGUAAAGAAGCUAAAGGGCAAAAAAAACAUCGGUCAAAAAGCACUCAUCUUCUUGUAUACUAUGACUCUCUGUUUUUUGUUCUUCUUUUUUUGCAACACCUGAUUAUAAGGUAUGCAUUUAACUUAACAACAAUUCCAUCAAAUAUUUGAUCAUUUCAAACCCCAAAAAAGAAAUUAGCACUAAUCAUAAAGAGCUAAUGUGCAUCUCAAUCUUUGUGUUUCUUGUGCCUCUACACCAUCCAAUCUCUUCGCGAUCGAGUUCAUCAUACUCAAAACCAUGCAUACAUAAACACCAUAAAAGUACUUAAAAGCAAUAUAAUAAUUACACAGCUACACAACAAUUACAACUACACAAUAGAUUUAAAACAUCUCCUUACUCGCUGGUGAUGCUGAGGCAAAAACAUCCAGCAAAAACCAGGAGGAGGUGACCCCAAUAUAAUAAUUAAUUACAUACCAAGCCCACUAUUAAGAAAGGGGGGAAAAAAAAAAAAAAAACCUAAAAGAGGACUCUGAUUCUUCUUCUUCGACCUAAAAGAGCUCUCCGCAAACGUCUAAAACCCCAUUUGCAGAAGAAGCCCAUAACCACUAAUUAAGAACUACACCAUACUACUACACCAAAUACAAUUAUAUUCCCACAAGACGAAGAAAAAAAAAAGAAAAAAAAUAUACUAAUUUUGGGAUAAAAUGGAGUCCCAGUCGAUCUCGUAGGAGGGAUACUUGCGGAGGAAGAAGCUCUCGGACUCGUCCCAUGGCGCCUCGGUGAAGUCCAAGGUCUCCAUCUCCGACACCGGCGACGACGAGUCCUCGGCCUCCCCGUCCGACGACGACGAGCUCUCCUCCGCCGCCGCCGAGGCCGGGGCGGAGGAGCUCGGCGGAGCUGCUGCGGCGGCGGCUGCGCUCCGGCCGGUCUUGGGGGCGGGGGCGGAGGAGGAGGUGGAGGCGAGGGUUUGGCAAAUGGCCUGGAGCUUGGCGUCGACGGAGGCGAGGAGCGGGGCGGGGGAGGAGGAGGGGAGGUGGCGGUGGCGGAGGUCGGGGAAGUUGAGGCGGGCGAAGUCGCCGCGGAGGCGGAACGCGGCCUUGUCGUAGGCGAGCGCGGCCUCCUCGGCGGUGUCGAAGGUGCCGAGCCAGAGCCGCGUCCGGUUCUUCGGGAGCCGGAUCUCCGCCACCCACUUCCCCCAGUGCCGCUGCCGCACCCCGCGGUACAGCUUCGUCGCCUUCCCCCCCGGCGCCGCCGCCGCCGCGGCAGCCCCGUGCUUCAUGGACUGCGCCCGCGGGCCGAGGUAGCCAGGGCCUCGCGGGGCGAGGAGCCGCUGCUGCUGCGGCUGCUGCUGCUGCCGCUGCCGCUGCUCGAACUGGAUCUGCGCCUGGAUCUGCUCGACCUGGGCCGGGCUCAGCUGGUUGAGCCCCACCGGGCCCACGUACGCCCCCGCUCCGUACUCAAAAAUCGGAUUUUGAUGCGAGAACGGAGACGACGACGACGACGAAGAGGGAGAUGGGGAGUAGAAGAGGGGCGAGCUCACCGGGGGGAAAGGGUAGGGGGAGGAGAGAGGAGGCGGAGGAGAGGGGGUGGAGGAGGUGAGCUCACCAUAGGUGAGAGGAGAAGGAGAGGGAGAAGGUGAAGGUGAGUAAGGAGAGGAGGAGGAGGAGGAGGAGGAGAUAGUGGAAGCGCCAUUAAUAAAAGGCUCGAGCGCUUUCAUGAGCUCCUCACUGAAAGGGUCUGAGUAUGUUACACCCCAACUAUUGCACAUAUCUAUAGCCGCAGCCAUGUAUACAAAAUACAAUAUAAAUAUAUAUAUCUAAAUAAAGCUAAAAUAGAUGGAGGAAAUAAAGAUAAAAAUGAGAUUUUUUUUUUCUUUUCUAAAAACAGGGGAAUCGAAAUGGAAGAAGCAACAACGCACCUGGUUCUUAACAAAAUCAAAGAAACCGGGGAGUUGGUAACUGCGUUUUUUCAAAGAUCAACAAGAAGGAAAAAAGAUAACUAAAGAUUCAACCUUGAGGGUGGAGAAAAUGGCCCUCUUGGUUUGAUCAACAACAACAACAAAAAAGGAAAAAAAAAUCCAAAAAUCCAGAAAUAAAAAAGGCUCUGGAUCUCUGAUCUGAAAUCUCUGGCUCCUAACAAAAUUCCCAGACAAACAAACAAAAAAGAAAUCCCUUUUCUCAGCUCAACGAAACUCAAAAAAAGGACCCAAGAUGAGAUUUUUUUUCUUUUCUUUUCUUUUCUUAACCUUGAGGAGUACAAAGAUUACAGAGGAGGGAUUCACAGAGCGUAGAGAACAAACCUUUGCUGCUUCGAUCGAAGGGGGGAACACUCAAGCCUCACCGAGGUGGAUGGGUUAAGGCUAAAGCUUUUUGUUUUUUUUUUUUUUUCUUUUGAUUUAAUUUUUUAUGUAGGUGGCGGGGGUGGAGGUGACUCUCUUGAGGGGAAGCACAGGUGUAAUGAAGGGGUUUAUAUAAGCCUCUAAGCGCCUCUUUAAUCUCGUGAAGAGCUCAUUACCCUUAUCAUCAUCCUUAAUUAGUUUUAGUUUUAUUAAUUAAACCAUGCAACGCUCCUCCCACAGCGAACCAAACGCUACGGGAAACCAGUGACGGGAACCAAUGGGGGCUCGCCACGUGUGGAUCCAAACCGGCAGGUGUCGGGAUAGUUACCGGCGCGUGUCCUUGUGAACCACGUGGAGUAAUAUUAUUGGCGGAGAAGUGUACUGUGUUGGUAUUGUUGCACGGGAUUUUCCGCUCACGAAAAAUAGGAUAAUUGGACUUUAGUUGAUACUAUCAUCGCUGGUAGGGGUAAAUUUGUAAUUUCGGGAUCGAUUUGAGCUGCGUCGCCGAACAGCGCUGGGUCCGGCUCGGCUUAGAUUCGGCUCGACUUUGUUUAUUUGGUCAUUUUUUCCAAAUGUAUUUAUAUUCACUUUUUGUUUUGAGAACAUAUAUUCUUAACCAAAUUAAUAUAAAUGUGUAUGAAAUAUUGUAAAUUUUUCAUAUCUAAAGCAUCUAUAUUCUUAGAAAUAUUCACACUAUCUCUAGUCCACUAGUCUUCAAUCCGGUGUGAAAUAACUAGGGCAUCAUAAACUUUCAGGCUCGAUCCAGUAGACUCUCAGCAGAUAUGUGACUAUUCAAACAUUACAAACUCAUGGACUCUUCUCCUUAAAAUACUUAAUUUAGAUCCUUAUACACUCAUCCCAUUUGAUCAUGGAUAAAUAGAGCGUUGUGGACUCUCUCCAUUUUAGAACUAACGUUCUCAUCAGGUUUAAUUCUCUAACCAACUCUCUACCGACUAUAAUAAUCCAACUCACUAAUACUAAUAAUUUAUUAGAUUCAAACUGUUAGACCAAAAUAUUUAAGCUUAAUUAUUAUUAUCGAAGUUUUUGAUCUGUCUUUUUUUUUUUUUCUUAUUUUGACUCUUGUGCUCGUACGCUUCCACGAAAGGAGUUUGGUGUGGAAGUCCCUGGCCAGAUAUAAUAAAAGGUUUCAAAGUGUCCUGCUCGAGAUACUGAUACAUGAGGACUAAGUGUAAAGUUUGAUUUUAGGGCAUUGGUAGUCCUAAAAUUUUUGCAUACUUUGGUGAUCUCGUCAUUCAUCAGCAGAUGAAUGAUAACUUGGAUUCAGUCACUAAUUGUUUAUUUCAUUUAUGCUGUGAUUUGAGAUUCUCUAUUGAUAUCAUUUUAUAUCCUGAUUUGCGUUUGUUUUCUCAGUAUGGCGAGAAUGGUUGAAAAUUUUAAUUUACUUUAUGCGUUCUUCUUCUGAGCCAAUUAAACUGGUAAUUUACUGUUUGUUGCAAGUAUGAAAGGAUUAAGUAUUAUUUUAUAGGCUUUGCGUGCCAGGUUAUCUGAUACAUAUGACAAUAAUUAUAUGAUACAAAACCAUAACACGUUGCAUUAAACUCAAUUAUUUCAGUUUUACAAAAUAUAAUUCAAAAUGUUCUCUUUAAUCAUUAUAUAUCUCCGGUUGAAAACAGUGGGACUCCGUUUUCAUAUAUAAAAAGCUUGAUAAAUUCAUAAGUCACUAGCACAUCAGGCCUAACCGGAGCUGGACUAUAUUUGUAAAUUUCAAGCUAAUUAUAAAAAUACUCAAUCUACAUAGUUAAUAUGUAAGUGUUAUAGUAUAUAUUCGUGUGCCAUACAGUAGUUAUAUAGCGAUCACAAAAUUUGUUUUUGCUAACAUACCAUAUCAUAAAAUAUUUAUUUAUUUUAACAUUAAUAUAUAUAUUCUAAUUACUUCUUACGUAUUUUAUCAAAUUUUUACACUUUAUUAAAAAUUGAACCAUACCGUCGGCAUGAAAAUUAUAUGGUGUAAAUAUUUUACAGAUAAAAGGGAAUCUUUUUUAUCAAUAAUAAUUUGAUUAAUUUGCGAAUAAUAAUAAGUCCAUAAAGUUUCAAUUGUGUAGUACUAGCACGGAAUGAUGAGGUGGGGAUGGAUCUUUAUGCUUUUGUUUCAGCAUUGUAGGACCUUUUAUAUAUAGCACCUAAUAAAAGAUCCCCACACAGUACUAAUCAUGUGAUGUGUACGUGGACGUUCAAUUUCUUUUGUUGAAACGAAAAAUUAUUACAUCGUUGUAAACGAAAAUUCAGAGUUUCACAGUUUCUAUGGACAUGGCAAGGCCACGAAGAACAAGAUCGACUUUUGUGCGCAGGAGCCACUCAUUUACAAAAAGCAAAGUUGGAAAAUGGAACUAUUCCCGAGUUGCGCAAUCUUUUUCAUUUUGUCACAUGAUUAACAUGCAAAAUUGAAAUAAAACUAGUGAUCUGGAUUAAUUAGUUUAUAUCGUAGAAAAAGAAUUAAGCCUAUUGAGAAGGUGAGUCAUCUACAGCUAGAUAUUGGAUUGUGAUGUUUCAUCUUUUUGAAUUUUUAAUUUUAGUAGUCGAUCACUGUUAAAUCAUCUUGCUAUAUAAUUUUUAAUUGUUCAUACUUGAAAAUAAAACAAAUAUUCUGGGCAAAAGUUAUAUACGAAGCAUUCUUAUAACGCGCGGAUUUAAUUCACCAUUUAAUUUGAUUUAAGAUUCAAGCACUAUACGUGAUGAAAAAUAGAUUAUAGUUUGAUCAUGCAAGGCUCCGCUUGUAACAAUAUUUGUUCUUGUAAACUAUGGAAAGUUAUAUAUUUUUUCUAAAUAAAAUCGAAUGGAUAUGGCAUAUAUUGAAAUUUUCCAUUCAUUCACUCAAUUGGCCCAAUUUCUUUCAUAAUUUAAGAUUAAGCUCAGCAUUCAUGGAGACCCCCUCAAAAAUGGGUUAUUUUUUUAUUUAAAAUGUAGCUAUUAUUUUGAAAUAUACCUCCAUAGCUUCUACUUUAUUUAUUUAAUUUUAGUGACAGAAUUUAAAUAUUUUAUCAACCUUUUUUUUUUUAAUCAAACGGUCAGCAUAUUUGAUAGAAUUGUAUAGCUUUUAGAACAAAAAUGAUUUAAUUUAUUUUAAAAAAAAAGUUUGGCCCCCUUAAAAAAUAUCAAAAGAGGGCCAUUUUCCAAAUUGCACAUAGGGUUAGGGAUUCUCCACACAUUUUCACCUACUCAGCACGAGCAGUGCUAUACGAUACACCCCUAAAGAUGACGUAAAUUUUGCACUUUUUAAUCCAAAAGCAAAAAAUAAAUCUUAUCUUAUUAAUUUAUUUUAAAAAAUUUAAGAUAAUUUUUUAAAAUUUAAAAUUUAUAGAUGUAAGAUGUAUAUAUAUAUAUAUAGAGAGAGAGAGAGAGAGAGGAGAGAGAGAGAGAGAGUCUAGCUGCUAUACUAUCAGUAGCACGGAUGCUUUCUUGCUACCAAAUUGUUUUCAAUGAUGCGGCUUCCAAAUCGACGAUCGGCUCCGUUAGACUUGAUCUAUACUAUUGAAAGUAUUUAGAAACUGAAUUUCAGAAUUUUUCGACAAUAUUUGGCUAGUGAUCAAAAGGUCUCAAAAUUGAUAAUUUUAAUGGUAGAUGUGAUGCAUUUGUAAAUUUAACGGUGUAAAACAAUCCAAAUCAGAUGAAAUUUUUAUAGAAAAUUAAUUUUACUAUUUAAAAUAAGAUUAGUAUCUCCGAUCUUAAAUUUAAGUCUUCUAUCAUCAUUUUUUAUGAGAUUUUUAUUUUCAACCGUUCAUUUUAGACUACUCGUUUGAUAGGUAAAUGAUACCGAAAAAUUAUGAAAUUUAGUUUCCAAAUACUUUCAAUAGUGUAGAUCAAGUCUAACGAAACCGAUUGUCGAUUUGGAAGCGGCAUCAUUGAAAACAACUUGAUAGCAUGGAGGUGUCCGUGCUACCAAUAAUAUAGCAGCCUAGCUAUAUAUAUAUAGAGUUCGGCUAUGUUGCUUGUAAAAGUACCAACUACUUGGUACUUGUAAGUUUUUUACCCUUAGAUCUACGUCUUUGAUCAUUUUCAACCGUUAGAUUAUACAAUUCAACCAACUGCCCACUCAACCCUAGAGGGCCACAUCAUCCUCACUGUACAUCCCUUAAUCCAAGGGCCGAAAACUUANAUAUAUAUAUAUAUAUAUAUAUAUAUAUAUAUAGAAUUGGUGCUUGUAAGUUUUUUACUGUUAGAUCUAUUCCUCGGAUCAUUUUCAACCAUUAGAUUAUACUAUUUAACCAACCACCCACUCAACCCUAGGGGGCCCACAUCAUUCUAACCGUAUAUCUUUUAAUUCAAUAGCUAAAAAUCUACAAGCACCAAUAACUUGGUACUUUUAAAAGUAUAGGGGUUCAAUUCUCUCUCUCUCUCUCUCUCUCUCUCUCUCUAUAUAUAUAUA
rnacentral:lncRNA from 1 species